rnacentral:rRNA from 1 species
UACGUAGGGUGCGAGCGUGUCCGGAAUUAUUGGGCGUAAAGAGCUCGUAGGCGGUGUGUCACGUCGGCCGUGAAAACCUGCAGCUUAACUGUGGCGUGCGGUCGAUACGGGCAUCACUGGAGUUCGGCAGGGGAGACUGGGAAUUCCUGGUGUAGCGGUGAAAUGCGCAGAUAUCAGGAGGAACGACCGGUGGCGAAGGCGGGUCUCUGGGCCGAUACUGACGCUGGAGGAGCGAAAGCGUGGGGAGCGAACAGG